rnacentral:rRNA from 1 species
UACGUAGGGGCAAGCGUUAUCCGGAUUUACUGGGUGUAAAGGGAGCGCAGACGGAACUGCAAGUCUGAUGUGAAAGCCCGGGGCUCAACCGCGGGACUGCAUCGGAUACUGUGGAUCUGGAGUGCCGGAGGGGCAAGCGGAAUUCCUGGUGUAGCGGUGAAAUGCGUAGAUAUCAGGAGGAACACCGGUGGCGAAGGCGGCUUUCUGGCCAGUUACUGACGCUCAUGCGCGAAAGCUGGGGUAGCGAACCGGAUUAGAUACCCCU